UCCAAGACUGAAAAUUCACUCCACUAAGGAAAACUGAAAAACCCCUUUCCCGUUGUUUAUUCUUUUUUUCUUUUUGCAAUGUUUCAUCCCCGCCCACAAAAUGAUCCUCACACAUUCCCUGAGACUCUCACCAUGCAGCUGCAGACGUCCACCAAGCGAUGUUCACGAAAUCUGCAAUAGUCGGCUGUAGAAACAGAUGGAAGAGAAUGAUGUUUGAUGGUCUUCCCUCCCACUGUGAUCUCCACCGCUGUGCUGACCAGAAUUCCUAUGGUGUCGUUCUCUGGGUUCAGCAGCUCGUCCCUGGCUUUAAGAGGGAAACAAAUAACAGAAAUAAGCCAGAAGGGGGGUUGGAAACAAACAGAGAGACAGAACACAUUACGAGGCCCAGUGUGAGAUAAACAACCCGCAUCAUUCACCUGUUCGAUAAGGCGCUCGAAAGAUGUAGCCCUUGUUGUCGAGGCUGCGGCGGUAAUAGCUGGCAUUAAACGGCUCAGGAUCUUCCUCCCAGCUUUCUGAAGCCCUGAGAUUUAAGAACAGAGA